rnacentral:rRNA from 1 species
GACGAACGCUGGCGGCGUGCCUAACACAUGCAAGUCGAGCGGUCCUGCAUUCAACAUUGAGUAUUCAGCAGGCGUUGGAGAUGUAACCAGCGUCAAGCAGAAACGACUAUAUAUUAUAAUUUUUUGAAGUUUCUGCUUCACGCCAAAUCAAGUGCCAACACAAAGGGAGCUGAGUAUUGAAUGUUGAAUGCAGGAUAGCGGCGGACGGGUGAGUAACGCGUGGGCAACCUGCCUCAUACAGGGGGAUAACACAGGGAAACUUGUGCUAAUACCGCAUAAUAUCAUUGGGUGGCAUCACCUGAUGAUCAAAGGAGAAAUCCGGUAUGAGAUGGGCCCGCGUCCGAUUAGUUAGUUGGUGAGGUAACGGCUCACCAAGGCGACGAUCGGUAGCCGAACUGAGAGGUUGAUCGGCCACAUUGGGACUGGAGACACGGCCCAGGACCUCCGUAAGGGAGCAGGCAGGUGGGGAAUAGUUGCGACG